UACGUAGGGGGCAAGCGUUGUCCGGAGUUACUGGGCGUAAAGCGCUCGCAGGCGGUGUCCUGCGUCGGGAGUGCCAGCUCUGUGCUUCACACAGGGAGUGCUCACGAAACGGGGACACUUGAGGGCCAGAGAGGGACAUGGAACUCCGGGUGGAGUGGUGAAAUGCGUAGAGAUCCGGAAGAACACCAAAGGCGAAGGCAGUGUCCUGGCUGGCGUCUGACGCUGAGGAGCGAGAGCGAGGGGAGCGAACAGG
rnacentral:rRNA from 1 species